rnacentral:rRNA from 1 species
AUUGAACGCUGGCGGCAUGCCUUACACAUGCAAGUCGAACGGUAACAGGUCUUCGGAUGCUGACGAGUGGCGAACGGGUGAGUAAUACAUCGGAACGUGCCUAGUAGUGGGGGAUGACUACUCGAAAGAGUGGCUAAUACCGCAUGAGAUCUACGGAUGAAAGCAGGGGAUCGCACGACCUUGUGCUACUAGAGCGGCCGAUGGCAGAUUAGGUAGUUGGUGGGAUAAAAGCUUACCAAGCCGACGAUCUGUAGCUGGUCUGAGAGGACGAUCAGCCACACUGGGACUGAGACACGGCCCAGACUCCUACGGGAGGCAGCAGUGGGGAAUUUUGGACAAUGGGCGCAAGCCUGAUCCAGCAAUGCCGCGUGCAGGAUGAAGGCCUUCGGGUUGUAAACUGCUUUUGUACGGAACGAAAAGCCCUGGGUUAAUACCCUGGGGUCAUGACGGUACCGUAAGAAUAAGCACCGGCUAACUACGUGCCAGCCGCCGCGGUAAUAC